UACGUAGGGGGCUAGCGUUAUCCGGAAUUACUGGGCGUAAAGGGUGCGUAGGUGGUUUCUUAAGUCAGAGGUGAAAGGCUACGGCUCAACCGUAGUAAGCCUUUGAAACUGGGAAACUUGAGUGCAGGAGAGGAGAGUAGAAUUCCUAGUGUAGCGGUGAAAUGCGUAGAUAUUAGGAGGAAUACCAGUUGCGAAGGCGGCUCUCUGGACUGUAACUGACACUGAGGCACGAAAGCGUGGGGAGCAAACAGGAUUAGAUACCCUGGUAGUCCCUGAG
rnacentral:rRNA from 1 species